rnacentral:rRNA from 1 species
GCAUAUCAAUAAGCGGAGGAAAAGAAACUAACUAGGAUUCCCUUAGUAACGGCGAGUGAACCGGGAUGAGCUCAAAUUUAAAAUCUGGCGUCUUUCAGGCGUCCGAGUUGUAAUCUAUAGAGGCGUUUUCCGCGCCGGACCGCGUCCAAGUCUCUUGGAAUAGAGUAUCAAAGAGGGUGACAAUCCCGUACUUGACGCGACAACCGGUGCUCUGUGAUACGUUCUCAAUGAGUCGAGUUGUUUGGGAAUGCAGCUCUAAAUGGGUGGUAAAUUCCAUCUAAGGCUAAAUAUUGGCGAGAGACCGAUAGCGAACAAGUACCGUGAGGGAAAGAUGAAAAGCACUUUGGAAAGAGAGUUAAACAGCACGUGAAAUUGUUAAAAGGGAAACGAUUGAAGUCAGUCGUGUGAAAGGUAUUCAGCCGUCUCUGGCGGUGUAUUUGCCUUUCACGGGUCAACAUCAGUUUGAUCCGGUAGAAAAAGGCAGGAGGAAGGUGGCACCCUCGGGUGUGUUAUAGCCUCUUGUCAUAUGUGCCGGAUCAGACUGAGGAACGCAGCUUGCCGCAAGGCCGGGGUUCGCCCACGUACAAGCUUAGGAUGUUGACAUAAUGGCUUUAAACGACCCGUCUUGAAACACGGACC